CUCACCACUGCGGGCCCCACCUUAAAGCUUCGCGCGGCGCUGCUCCGGCUGCUUGUGGCGGCUGAUUUUUGCGUUUUCGAUUUUAACGAACGCGAAUUAACAAACACAUUUCUUCUCAAACCGUCUAAUUUAAAGCGUAAACUAUUGCACGAUUUUGUCAAAAAUUUAACAAGUCGCGAACAAACUUCGCUCGAUUUUUUUUUUUGCUUCGGCUAAAGGCGGCGUCGUUGUUUAGCCAUCUGGGUUUGGUGUUUAUUUUUAUUUUAUUUAUUUUUUUAAAACCCCUCAACAUUUUUUUUUUAAAAGGCAAAUACAAUUUCUAUUUUUUUUUUACCUCAGGCAAGAUCUCUGCGGCAAUUUGAGGAGGGCGGUCCGGGUGUCGAACCUGGGCUCUGAACAUGGCGAGUGAAAUGCAGGAGAUCCAGAUCACCGAGGCCAAGCCUCUGCUGCUGCAGAAGGAUGCUGCCGGGGGUCCAGAGGUGACUGGGACGCCGUUUCAAGACAUCAAUUGCCAGGUGAGAUGCUUAGACAUUUAGCCAGCGCAGCUGAGUUAGCUGGGUUGUAGCCCUGGGUGUUGGUGUCUCUCUUUCUUUGUUUCUGACUCAAGGAGGUUUAUAAUGGCCGUGUCUGGGUCUGUCUGUGGUU